rnacentral:rRNA from 1 species
CCAGCAGCCGCGGUAAUUCCAGCUCCAAUAGCGUAUAUUAAAGUUGUUGCAGUUAAAAAGCUCGUAGUUGGAUUUCUGAUGAAGAUGGCGGUCCGUGUAUAUUAAUACAUGUGUACCGUUCAAUUACAAAUUUUCAUCAUAUUUGUAUUUAUAUGGUUUACUAUAUGGAUACAUCAUUUACUGUGAACAAAUUAGAGUGUUUAAAGCAGGCAAUCGCUUGAAUACUUCAGCAUGGAAUAAUAAGAUAGGACUUGGGUGCUAUUUUGUUGGUUGCGUACCGAAGUAAUGAUUAAUAGGGAUAGUUGGGGGUAUUCAUAUUUCAUUGUCAGAGGUGAAAUUCUUGG